CCUACGGGUGGCUGCAGUGAGGAAUAUUGGUCAAUGGGCGCGAGCCUGAACCAGCCAAGUCGCGUGAGUGAAGAAGUAUUUCGGUAUGUAAAGCUCUAUCAGCAGGGAAGAAAAUGACGGUACCUGACUAAGAAGCCCCGGCUAACUACGUGCCAGCAGCCGCGGUAAUACGUAGGGGGCAAGCGUUAUCCGGAUUUACUGGGUGUAAAGGGAGCGCAGACGGCUGUGCAAGUCUGGAGUGAAAGGCGGGGGCCCAACCCCCGGACUGUUCUGGAAACUGUAAAGCUGGAGUGCAGGAGAGGUAAGCGGAAUUCCUAGUGUAGCGGUGAAAUGCGUAGAUAUUAGGAGGAACACCAGUGGCGAAGGCGGCUUACUGGACUGCAACUGACGUUGAGGCUCGAAAGCGUGGGGAGCAAACAGGAUUAGAUACCCUUGUAGUC
rnacentral:rRNA from 1 species